UACGUAGGGUGCGAGCGUUAAUCGGAAUUACUGGGCGUAAGCGUGCGCAGGCGGUUCGUUGUGUCGGCGGUGAAAGCCCCGGGCUUAACCUGGGAAUGGCCGUUGAAACUGGCGAACUGGAGUGUGGCAGAGGGGGUGGAAUUCCGCGUGGUAGCAGUGAAAUGCGUAGAGAUGCGGAGGAACACCGAUGGCGAAGGCAGCCCCCUGGGCUAACACUGACGCCUCAGCACGAAGCGUGGGGAGCAAACAGG
rnacentral:rRNA from 1 species